ACAAUCAUGAGCCAUCGCAGCUGGCCUGUGGGUGAUUUUAUUUAUUCCUCGAGAUAGGUGCAUUUAUUAUCUCCAUUUACAUCUGAGGAAACUGAGGCACAAAGGGGCAAAAUAACAUUUCCAAGGCUGCUGACUGGUAAGUGGCCAGCAUUUGACUGAGGAGGUCUCUCUCUAGAAACCCUGCCCCUGCUGCCCCUUCUGUGUCUGAGUGUGGCAGUCAGAUCCCAGAGGGAAUCCCGCACCUGUAAAAUAAAAACAAUCAGCUGGCCCUGCUGACCUCGUUAGAGAGCGAAGCCCAGGCUAAAAAGGGAUGAGUACCUUGAGAAGGUUCGGCUCGGGUGUGGCCAUGCAGGAAACGCUCUUCCUUUCUUGCUUGCCUGUCAUAACCUGAAUAAUCUCUGCACCAGAUCUGUGUUUGUCUCUUCCCUGCUGUAGGUCGCUGUGGCCUUGCCCCUCAGAACAACAGAUCAAUGGGCUGCGGCCAGACAGCGCUCUGCGCUUUGAUGAAUUUUAAAGUGUUGGGGUGAUCACAAGAUGUCCGUCCGAGUUUCACCGUUAGAGAGCUGCUGAGCUGAGCUGAGGGUUGGCAGGGUAGAGUCCUAUGGGAGAAACACCGCUGGGAUCACAGAGAUUUCUGUGUAUCAGGAACCAACAAAUACUAAAGAUGGAGGUCUCGCCAUGUUGUCCAGGCUGGUAUUGAACUCCUGAGUUCAAGUGAUCCUCUUGCUUUGGCUUCCCAAAGUGCUGGGAUUACAGGAGGAACAGAGGCACAGAGAGACACCCAGAGAAGAUGGCCAUGCGACCUCAGAGGGGAGGCUGGAGCCAAGGACCCCCGGGAUUGCCGGCCACACCAGAGCUGGGCCAGGUGUGGGGCGAUCCUCCCUGCAGACUUCAGAGGGGGCGAGGCCCUGACACCCUCAUCUAGGACUUCCAGCCUCCAGAGCUGAGAGAGAAGGAAUGUCCACUGUUAAAGGUGCCCAGUCUGUGGGACGUCAUUCUGGUGGCCACAGGAGACUCAUACAGCGCUUGGAGGAGGGGGUCAGUGGACAGCCAGAAGAGCAGCAAGGCCAGCAGCUCCGGAGCUGCCACCUCCGCUGUGGUGUCACUUUGCUUAUUUUGGUGCUUGUGUGUCCUCACCUGUCUGCCCUGAGGGAGGGGAAGUGCAAAGCCCAGGGAUGGGGGGAGGUGAGUGAGGAUGCUGCAGCCCGCCCCCCCUUUCCUUCCGGCCACUCCCCAGCCCCAGCCCCAACCUAAAAAUACCUCCCCGGGCCUGCCUUGGUGUUCUGAGAAUGUCUGUACCCGUGUGGCAUGGUCAAGUCAUGUGGCCACAGGAGGGGAUGAGGAGGAAGUUUAGUGCACU